UACGAAGGGGGCUAGCGUUGCUCGGAAUCACUGGGCGUAAAGGGUGCGUAGGCGGGUUUUUAAGUCAGGGGUGAAAUCCUGGAGCUCAACUCCAGAACUGCCUUUGAUACUGAAAGUCUUGAGUAUGGGAGAGGUGAGUGGAACUGCGAGUGUAGAGGUGAAAUUCGUAGAUAUUCGCAAGAACACCAGUGGCGAAGGCGGCUCACUGGCCCAUUACUGACGCUGAGGCACGAAAGCGUGGGGAGCAAACAGG
rnacentral:rRNA from 1 species